GCGUCUUAAGCAUGCAAGUCAAACGGGAUGUAGGAAUACAUCUAGUGGCGAACGGGUGAGUAACGCGUGGAUGAUCUACCUACGAGAUGGGGAUAACUAUUAGAAAUAGUAGCUAAUACCGAAUAAAGUCAAUUAAUUUGUUAAUUGAUGAAAGGAAGCCUUUAAAGCUUCGCUUGUAGAUGAGUCUGCGUCUUAUUAGUUAGUUGGUAGGGUAAAUGCCUACCAAGACGAUGAUAAGUAACCGGCCUGAGAGGGUGAACGGUCACACUGGAACUGAGAUACGGUCCAGACUCCUACGGGAGGCAGCAGCUAAGAAUCUUCCGCAAUGGGCGAAAGCCUGACGGAGCGACACUGCGUGAAUGAAGAAGGUCGAAAGAUUGUAAAAUUCUUUUAUAAAUGAGGAAUAAGCUUUGUAGGAAAUGACGAAGUGAUGACGUUAAUUUAUGAAUAAGCCCCGGCUAAUUACGUGCCAGCAGCCGCGGUAAUACGUAAGGGGCGAGCGUUGUUCGGGAUUAUUGGGCGUAAAGGGUGAGUAGGCGGAUGUAUAAGUCUAUGCAUAAAAUACCACAGCUCAACUGUGGAACUAUGUUGGAAACUGUAUGUCUAGAGUCUGAUAGAGGAAGUUAGAAUUUCUGGUGUAAGGGUGGAAUCUGUUGAUAUCAGAAAGAAUACCGGAGGCGAAGGCGAACUUCUGGGUCAAGACUGACGCUGAGUCACGAAAGCGUAGGGAGCAAACAGGAUUAGAUACCCUGGUAGUCUACGCUGUAAACGAUGCACACUUGGUGUUAACUAAAAGUUAGUACCGAAGCUAACGUG
rnacentral:rRNA from 1 species